AUUGAACGCUGGCGACAUGCCUUACACAUGCAAGUCGAACGGCAGCACGGGAGCAAUCCUGGUGGCGCGUGGCGAACGGGUGAGUAAUGUAUCGGAACGUGCACAGUCAUGGGGGAUAACGUAGCGAAAGCUACGCUAAUACCGCAUACGAUCAUUGGAUGAAAGCGGGGGAUCGCAAGACCUCGCGCUAUUGGAGCGGCCGCUAUCCGAUUAGGUAGUUGGUGGGGUAAAGGCUCACCAAGCCGACGAUCUGUGGCUGGUCUGAGAGGACGACCAGCCACACUGAGACUGAGACACAGCCCAGACUCCUACGUGAGGCAGCAGUGGGGAAUUUUGGACAAUGGGCGCAAGCCUGAUCCAGCAAUGCCGCGUGCAGGAUGAAGGCCUUCGGGUUGUAAACUGCUUUUGUACGGAACGAAACGGCGAGCUCUAAUACAGUUUGCUAAUGACGGUACCGUAAGAAUAAGCACCGGCUAACUACGUGCCAGCCGCCGCAGUAA
rnacentral:rRNA from 1 species